rnacentral:rRNA from 1 species
AUUGAACGCUGGCGGCAGGCCUAACACAUGCAAGUCGAACGAGUGGCGGACGGGUGAGUAAUGUAUGGGAAAGUGCCUGGUGGCGGGGGAUAACUACUGGAAACGGUGGCUAAUACCGCAUACCAUCGGAUGUGCCCAUAUGGGAUUAGCUAGUGGGUGGGGUAAAGGCUCACCUAGGCGACGAUCCCUAGCUGGUGUGAGAGGAUGACCAGCCACACUGGAACUGAGACACGGUCCAGACUCCUACGGGAGGCAGCAGUGGGGAAUAUUGGACAAUGGGCGCAAGCCUGAUGCAGCCAUGCCGCGUGUAUGAAGAAGGCCUUCGGGUUGUAAAGUACUUUUAGCGGGGAGGCGUUACCCGCAGAAUAAGCACCGGCUAACUCCGUGCCAGCAGCCGCGGUAAUAC